rnacentral:rRNA from 1 species
GACGAACGCUGGCGGCGUGCUUAACACAUGCAAGUCGAACGGUGAAGCGCCUUCCUUUUUGGUGGGUGUGGAUGAGUGGCGAACGGGUGAGUAACACGUGAGUAACCUGCCCCCUUCUUCUGGAUAACCGCAUGAAAGUGUGGCUAAUACGGGAUAUUCUGGGUCUGUCGCAUGAUGGGUCUGGGAAAGAUAUUGUUUCGGUGGGGGAUGGGCUCGCGGCCUAUCAGCUUGUUGGUGGGGUGAUGGCCUACCAAGGCGGUGACGGGUAGCCGGCCUGAGAGGGUGGACGGUCACACUGGGACUGAGACACGGCCCAGACUCCGACGGGAGGCAGCAGUGGGGAAUAUGGCACAAUGGGCGCAAGGCUGAUGCAGCGACGCCGCGUGAGUGAUGGAGGCCUGCGGGUUGUGAACCUCUUUCGCCAGUGAAGCAGGCCUGCCUCGUUUGUGGGUGGGUUGACGGUAGCUGGAUAAGAAGCGCCGGCUAACUACGUG